UACGAAGGGGGCUAGCGUUGUUCGGAUUAACUGGGCGUAAAGGGUGCGUAGGCGGGUUUUUAAGUCAGGGUGAAAUCCCGAGGCUCAACCUCGGAACUGCCUUUGAUACUGGAAAUCUUGAGUCUGGGAGAGGUGAGUGGAACUGCGAGUGUAGAGGUGAAAUUCGUAGAUAUUCGCAGGAACACCGGUGGCGAAGGCGGCUCACUGGCCCGGAACUGACGCUGAGGCACGGAAAGCGUGGGGAGCAAACAGGGA
rnacentral:rRNA from 1 species